GACGAACGCUGGCGGCGUGCUUAACACAUGCAAGUCGAACGCUGAAGCUCAGCUUUUGUUGGGUGGAUGAGUGGCGAACGGGUGAGUAACACGUGAGUAACCUGCCCCCUUCUUUGGGAUAACGCCCGGAAACGGGUGCUAAUACUGGAUAUUCACUGGUCUUCGCAUGGGGGUUGGUGGAAGGGGUUUUUCUGGUGGCGGAUGGGCUCGCGGCCUAUCAGCUUGUUGGUGGGGUGAUGGCCUACCAAGGCUUUGACGGGUAGCAGGCCUGAGAGGGUGACCGGUGACAUGGGGACUGAGAUACGGCCCAGACUCCGACGGGAGGCAGCAGUGGGGAAGAUUGCACAAUGGGCGCAAGGCUGAGGCAGCGACGCCACGUGAGGGAUGGGGGCCUGCGGGUUGUGAACCUCUUUCGCUCAUGGUCAAGCCGCAACAAUGGUUGUGGUGAGGGUAGUGGGUAAAGAAGCGCCGGCUAACUACGUG
rnacentral:rRNA from 1 species